GGCUAUACUUAAGAAAAUAGGUUGUCAAUUGUUUGGGGUAGAGUGGUGAUCUUUCGCCAUCUCAAAAAAGGGAAAGAAAAAAAAGGUGGCAUUUUUUAUAUGGUAACAGCUAUAAUGGCUUUUACUAAAUAGAAAGCCUCUAGAUUGUCUUACAAUGCUAAUGGCCAAUAUGAUAACAAAUUUUUUCCCUUUACAUAAUAGAGUUAACAAUAACAGUAUCCAAAAAAAACCUUUAUAUUACAGACUUUACAAAACAUAUCGUCUUUAUUUAAAACCAUGAAUUGACCUCAUUUAAAUCUUCUUACUUCCACUCUCUCUCCAUUACAUUAUCAAUCCUUUCCCCUUACGAAAAUUGUGUUUCAACUUUUUUAAUUUUGCUAUUUCAUUGUCCUAAGGUUUUCUCUUUUUUUUAUUUUUUGUUUGUGUGAAAGUGUGCACAGAGAAAUUUAUUUCAAUUAUACACAUUUGGCUGAAUUUACUUGACCAAAUAUUAAGUUGAAUCAUUUUACCCCCACAAAUGCUACUAACCCUACUACUCCACCACAUUCAUCUCUUUCAGUUCCUCUCUCUUUUAACUUCUUACCAAUUUUCCCUUACAGAAAUUCAAUUUCUUUAAUGCCUUGAAUGCUGUUGGAGUCCCAUACCAAUUAGCUACAAAAAAAUUGAAAGAGAAUAUAUAGGCAAGAGGGAGCCAAGCCCAAUUGACUUAAGCCAUUUUUUGUGGAGUAGUCCUAAGCUCAACAAUCAAACCUUGCCGACAAACUUCCGCACUCCCUAGUAGUGUUGUUAAAGGCGCUCUAAUGAGCCAAGCAAGGCAAGGCGACUCUCUAGCACCUCGCGCCUUGCCUGGCUUUGCCUGGCCAUGCUUCCAGGAGGCGACCACCCCAACAACAGAGGCGUCAGGCGACGAGGCAACGCCUUAAUGAAGCUAACAAUAACUUUUUUUUUCUUUUAAAUUGUUUUUUAACACAACAAAUUUAAAAACCAUAAGACAGCAAUCAAAUCAAAAUUGACUAAAUCAAGUAGAGAACAUCUUCAUUUUAAAUAUUUUGGAUUAUCAUUAAUCAUCAUUUGGCUCCCACAGUCUAAUCAAGAUAAGACCUUUCAUUAAAUCAUGGAACCUCUUCCCACCUAUUCCACAAUCCACAUUCAACAACUUUCGUAAAAUGAACACCUAACAACUCAGUAUCAUGAAUGGAUUAAAUACCUACCAAUC
rnacentral:misc_RNA from 1 species